rnacentral:rRNA from 1 species
GAUGAACGCUGGCGGCGUGCCUAAUACAUGCAAGUCGAGCGAACAGACGAGGAGCUUGCUCCUCUGACGUUAGCGGCGGACGGGUGAGUAACACGUGGAUAACCUACCUAUAAGACGGGGAUAACUUCGGGAAACCGGAGCUAAUACCGGAUAAUAUAUUGAACCGCAUGGUGCAAUAGUGAAAGACGGUUUUGCUGUCACUUAUAGAUGGAUCCGCGCCGCAUUAGCUAGUUGGUAAGGUAACGGCUUACCAAGGCGACGAUGCGUAGCCGACCUGAGAGGGUGAUCGGCCACACUGGAACUGAGACACGGUCCAGACUCCUACGGGAGGCAGCAGUAGGGAAUCUUCCGCAAUGGGCGAAAGCCUGACGCAGCCACGCCGCGUGAGUGAUGAAGGUCUUCGGAUCGUAAAACUCUGUUAUUAGGGAAGAACAACUGUGUAAGUAACUCUGCACGUCUUGACGGUACCUAAUCAGAAAGCCCCGGCUAACUACGUG